rnacentral:rRNA from 1 species
UCCUGAUCCAGCCAUGCCGCGUUGCAGGAAGAACAGUCCUAUGGAUUGUAAACUUGCUUUUAUACANGGAAGAAAAAAUCUGACUUGUAGAAUAUUGACGGUACUGUAUGAAUAAGAAUCGGCUAACUCCGUGCCAGCAGCCGCGGUAAUACGGAGGAUUCGAGCGUUAUCCGGAAUCAUUGGGUUUAAAGGGUUCGUAGGCGGGACAAUAAGUCAGUGGUGAAAGUUUGUGGCUCAACCAUAAAAUUGCCAUUGAUACUGUUGUUCUUGAGUUAUUGUGAAGUGGUUAGAAUGUGUAGUGUAGCGGUGAAAUGCAUAGAUAUUACACAGAACACCAAUUGCGAAGGCUUAUCACUAACAAUAUACUGACGCUGAUGAACGAAAGCGUAGGUAGCCAACAGGAUUAGAUACCCUGGUAGUCUACGCUGUAAACUAUGGUUACUAGCUGUUCGGAGCACAUUAGUGCACUGAGUGGUUAAGCGAAAGUGAUAAGUAACCCACCUGGGAAGUACGUUUGCCAGAAUUGGAAACUCAAAUGAAUUGACGG